CCGACGUGGGCGCUGUAGGACAGGGCCUGAGUUGCCGGCGGCCGGCAGUACAGGGGCUUGGGAGGGACCCGGACCCGAGGGACACGGGGCCCGAGGCCCCUAAGCGCCGUUAGUCAGACGCAGGUGAGGCGCGUCUGCGCGGGAGAAGGUGACUGGUCCUGGCUGACACCUGAGCGGGGGAAGCAUGCUCUUUGUCCCUUCCGAAGAGCAGACAAAGUUAUUUGCUGGCGAAUUGAAAUUUACUUACUUAUUUGCUGCCAGAGAAAUGAAAACUCCAGGACGGCGGGCAUCCUUGUGUGCUGUCCUCUGACCCAAUGGGUGCCCAGUGCAGACCUGGUCCUCCAGUGGCCCUUCAGUAGCUGUUUUUCUCCUGUCUUUGGAUUCAUACUGAAACAUUGGCUGUAUGUGGAUCUCAACCCUGCCAGCCUUAGGGCCAAAGUGCGCUGCCAGCUCUCCAACCGCAGAUGGCCAGCUUGUCAGCCGCCUGUCUGGGAACUUGUCAGCAUUCAUGAUCACACGAGCCAUCUUAAAAUAAAUGUAAAAAGCCAGCUGUUUUUCUCAGGACAGGGACCCACUCGAGUUCCGUGCCCCUGGGUGGACAUGCAGUGGGAAGGUGGCAGGCAGAGGAGCAGCACGUACAUGUGAGCCCGGGAGAGAACGCUGACCCCGUCCCAGAGAGGGGGCAUGGAAGGCCCUGAGAGGGAGCCUCCUCUCCCCUUCCUGUGUCCCGAGUCGUAGCAGACUGGGGUCCUCUGCCCCUCCCCUCUAGGGAGAGUGGGGGCUUACCCACGAGGGAACCCACCUUGGGAUGGGGAGGUGGGGCUGGGUGUCAGCCCCGAAUCAGCCAGAGGCCCUGUGUCCCCCUGGGGAGCGUUCUCCGGCCCGAGCUGUGCUACUGAAGGUGACGGAAGCAUGACCAGCGCCAUCGUUCCUCCGCGCUGCCGUCUGGAGAGGAGGAGGUUGGCCCUGGGGACCUGCAGCCUGCCUGUUAGAGGCCCUGGCCUGCCUGCUCAGCCACGUGAAUUUCCCCACCAGACCCAAGCCCCGGGCGCAGGAGGGGACGCAGCAGAGUUUGGUUCAGCUGAAGCCUGUGGUUUACCAGACAAGCCGCAGGGAGAGGACUAAGGGGACGAGGGUGUCCAAGCAUCAUCCAUGCGGCCGCAGGACCCCAGCUACCGAGCUGGGGGAGGGGAGAGGGGGAGGCAGGAUGGGAAGGGGGAGAAUGAAAGCAGGUCACAGCCCCAGGGGGACUAGGCCCAGGAGCAGGGGUGUGGGAGAGGAGCUCAGUGUGGGGGAUGGAAAAUAAAAUUUCAUGCAGGCCGCAGUUACAACUGAAAAGGUUUUUCGUUGCAAGCAGUACAAAAAUUCCUCCCUUUAAUUUUGGGAAAAUUUAAAUUGGUUGAAAACAGUACAAUGAACACCCAUACUACUUCCACUUAGAGACAUAAAUCAUGUUGCCACAAUUUUUUCUCUCUCUGAACGUGUGUAUGUUUCCCAAGGUAUCUAGAAAA